CAGCUUAAGAUGGUUGCUGGUUUUAGCUGGUUUUCGCUGGUUCUGCAGUUUGUGUUUCCCCUGAAAAACGUGAUGCAGUUAUAAGUUGCUUUGCAUUUGAACCCCUAUGACUGGUUGCGGACUUGAAGGGAACGACUUCCUGGCCUUCCUGACAUCCAGGAAAAAGUUUUAUUGGACAGUAGAGAUCUACUGGAAACAGUGGAGAGGGAAGAGAUGAUAUGCAGCAAAAGGCCGAGCCGGAUGGUUGCUGCUCCGUGUGGAACGUGUUCUAUCAGGUGUAACAUCUACCAAUGGUUGUACAUGACACCACCUCUUUGCUGUCCUACUAGUCAACCCUCCUGAUCAGAGCCUUUCCUAAAUAGUGAAAGGUUCAAAAAGUUCCCUGUACAUGGAACCAUGCCUGUCCUCUGUUCCACAUGUCUUCAGUCAGUUCUGGACCCCAUGACUCGGACACUAGUUCUA